GAUGAACGCUGGCGGCGUGCUUAACACAUGCAAGUCGAACGAAGCACUUUUUUAAGCUUGCUUUUAAAAGUGACUGAGUGGCGGACGGGGGAGUAACGCGUGGGUAACCUACCUCACACAGGGGGAUAACAGUUAGAAAUGACUGCUAAUACCGCAUAAAAUGGCAGUUUCGCAUGAACAAACCAUCAAAGACUUAUCGGUGUGAGAUGGACCCGCGUCUGAUUAGCUAGUUGGUAAGGUAACGGCUUACCAAGGCGACGAUCAGUAGCCGACCUGAGAGGGUGACCGGCCACAUUGGGACUGAGACACGGCCCAAACUCCUACGGGAGGCGGCAGUGGGGAAUAUUGGACAAUGGGCGCAAGCCUGAUCCAGCGACGCCGCGUGAGCGAUGAAGUAUUUCGGUAUGUAAAGCUCUAUCAGCAGGGAAGAUAAUGACGGUACCUGACUAAGAAGCACCGGCUAAAUACGUGCCAGCCGCCGCUGUAACAC
rnacentral:rRNA from 1 species